CCUGAGAGAAACGUCACGCGCUUACGAGGUCUUCCGAGGGCUCUCGGGUGACGAGGAGGAGCAAAGCUUACCGUCCAGGUCUCCCAGGAUGAUGAACUUCUGAAUGACAUGGUAUUCCCGUGGCAGCGUCUCGACUUCCUGGUGGGCCAUCCCUGAAGAGAUCAGGUGCUUCUCCACCAGUGUGUCCACCAUCACCUUGAACCAUCCUCCAGGUGCAGGCCUUCCAGAUGCCUCUUUGAGGGUUCCCUUCCACCGGGCGCAACUCGGCACUGCCUGCAGACCAACACCCCCAAAGUGAGCUCCAUUGGCGUGCGGCUACCGUCGAUUUUUUGAAAGAGGACCUGAGU